rnacentral:miRNA from 1 species
GACAACUUCCGACCACCAAAACAGCCAAAUUUUGAUACUGUUGGAAAUCACACAAUGUCCUUUUCAAUUAUCAUCCAAAUUCUCCUCCAAACUCCAAAGGAUUCGGCCGGAAUAAACCCGCAAAGUCAGCAUCCUAGAAAGGCGAAAAUCUGGGAUGCCAAAUUUGUGAGUUUAUUUUGGCCAAAUCCUUUGGAGUUUUGGGGAGAUUUUGGAUGCUAACUAAAGAGGACAUUGUGGGCUUUCCAACGGUAUCAAAAUUUGGCUAUUUUGGUGGUCGAAAGUUGUC